GGUACCUUACUAGAAAGCCCCGGCUAACUAUGUGCCAGCAGCCGCGGUAAUACAUAGGGGGCGAGCGUUAUCCGGAAUUAUUGGGCGUAAAGCGUGCGUAGGCGGCCGUUUAAGUCUGUCGUGAAAGCCCACAGCUUAACUGUGGAGGGUCGAUGGAAACUGGAUGGCUUGAAUCUAGAAGAGGUAAGUGGAAUUCCAUGUGUAGCGGUAAAAUGCUUAGAUAUAUGGAGGAACACCAGUGGCGAAGGCGGCUUACUGGUCUAGCAUUGACGCUGAGGCACGAAAGCGUAGGUAGCAAACAGGAUUAGAUACCCUGGUAGUCUACGCUGUAAACGAUGAGCACUAAGUGUCGGACGUAAGUUCGGUGCUGUAGUUAACGCAUUAAGUGCUCCGCCUGGGGA
rnacentral:rRNA from 1 species